rnacentral:tRNA from 1 species
GCAUCUAUAGUUUAGUGGUAGAAUAUUAGCCUUCCAAGCUAAUGGCGCGGGUUCGAUUCCCGCUGGAUGCA